AUGCCUACGACGACGGACGGGGCCGACGCCCCCGACCUCGCCGGCCGCGCAAUGACCCGCUCCUCCUCCUCCUCCAGCCCACCGCCAGCCGCGUGCCACCUCCAGAUCACAACUGCUGCCACCACCGCCGCGACCGCAAACACCUCCGCCAAUCCCUCCUCCCCCGUCGCCCAGUCCUCCUCCUCCUCCUCCCGCGUCGCCGGAGCCGCCGCCGGGUCCGGGCAGAACCAGGCCUGCGCGGCCUGCAAGUACCAGCGCCGCAAGUGCAACCCGGACUGCCCGCUCGCCCCUUACUUCCCCGCCGACCAGCAGCGCCGCUUCCUCAACGCGCACCGCCUCUUCGGCGUCGGCCACAUCCAGGCCACGCUCCGGGAGACCCCGCCCGACCUGCACACCGACGCCAUGCGCGCGCUCAUCUUCCAGGCCGAGGCCCGGGCCUACGACCCCGUCGGGGGCUGCUGCCGCAUCAUCCUCGACUACGAGAGGCAGCUCGGCCUCGCACAGGCCGAGCUCGCCGCGCUCCUACGCCACCUCGAUCUCUGCCGCCACCAGGCCGCCGCCGCCGCCAUCGCCCAGGACGCGCUCGUCAACGACCCAGGGAUGCUGCUGCUUGCCCCCGGGCCCAACCCGGCCGAUGUCCAGGACGGUGUCGCCGCUCUCGACCCGCUCUACGCCGGCCACGAGAUCAGCAAUGGCCAGGCUAACCACCACGACCACGAUCAUUAUCUGGUCGGCGCCGCGGACCAGCUGCAGCUGCAACCGCAGAAGCACCAGCCGUACGACUACUUCUACUACGACGGGCCGGCGGCCGUCGACGAGACCAGCAGCCACGCUUGGAGCAAUGCCGGCAACGUGCAGCAGCAGUACGGAAAUGGCGUCAAGGCCGAAUCUCCGGUGGCGCUCGACGAUCAGAUCGAGACACAGUUCGUCGACGCUUUCGACGUGAAGCCAGAGAUAGCAGCAGCAUCAUCAUCAGUCGCCGUCAUGGAACACGACGACGGCGGCAGUGGCGCCAGCUUCGACCACCGCCACCUGGAGCAGAAGGUGGUGGCCACCGUGGUGAAAAAUGAACGGCUUGACCACCAGGCGGCGGCGCACAUGGCAGCAGAGUCGUCCUCGCGCUGCCAGCUGGAGCUAGGGUUCACUUCCUUCUGA
rnacentral:rRNA from 1 species